rnacentral:rRNA from 1 species
UACGGGGGGGGCAAGCGUUGUUCGGAAUUACUGGGCGUAAAGGGCUCGUAGGCGGCCAACUAAGUCAGACGUGAAAUCCCUCGGCUUAACCGGGGAACUGCGUCUGAUACUGGAUGGCUUGAGAUUGGGAGAGGGAUGCGGAAUUCCAGGUGUAGCGGUGAAAUGCGUAGAUAUCUGGAGGAACACCGGUGGCGAAGGCGGCAUCCUGGACCAACACUGACACUGAGGCACGAAAGCGUGGGGAGCAAACAGG